GAGAAGGUUGCGGGCUGCACAUGCGUGGAAAUAAGACACUCAAAACCCACAUCUAAAGAAAAGGGUAUAUGUUUAUUCCCUUGUCUGACCCGUCAAAGGAUCUACAAAUUUUAAUGGUUAAAUGAACUGAAAAAUACCUGACCCAUAGAGUUGCAUCAAUCAGCGCUUUCGUUAAGGUGUGCCGUGCUCGGUCAGAGGCUCUGUGCCAAUGGCUCCAGCGAGUAUCUGAGCAUUUAUAUGGGUGCUUCUCUCCAGGCUGAGAUUUGCCGGGUGAAAGAGCCAGCGAGGUCAGCGCCAGAACCAGCCCGCCCACUCUGACAGCCGGAGCUCCGCCCAUCACCCGCACACUCCGCCCCCACCGUCAGCCGUCCACAGCUCCACCCUCGGGCCUCCGCUCCUCACUGGUUGUCUGUCC